rnacentral:rRNA from 1 species
AUGAACGCUGGCGGCGUGCCUAAUACAUGCAAGUCGCGCGAACGGACGAGAAGCUUGCUUCUCUGAUGUUAGCGGCGGACGGGUGAGUAACACGUGGAUAACCUACCCAUAAGACUGGGAUAACUUCGGGAAACCGGAGCUAAUACCGGAUAAUAUUUUGAACCGCAUGGUUCAAAAGUGAAAGACGGUCUUGCUGUCACUUAUAGAUGGAUCCGCGCUGCAUUAGCUAGUUGGUAAGGUAACGGCUUACCAAGGCAACGAUGCAUAGCCGACCUGAGAGGGUGAUCGGCCACACUGGAACUGAGACACGGUCCAGACUCCUACGGGAGGCAGCAGUAGGGAAUCUUCCGCAAUGGGCGAAAGCCUGACGGAGCAACGCCGCGUGAGUGAUGAAGGUCUUCGGAUCGUAAAACUCUGUUAUUAGGGAAGAACAUAUGUGUAAGUAACUGUGCACAUCUUGACGGUACCUAAUCAGAAAGCCACGGCUAACUACGUG